rnacentral:rRNA from 1 species
UACGGAGGGUGCGAGCGUUGUCCGGAAUCAUUGGGCGUAAAGGGUGCGUAGGCGGCGUGGUAAGUCGGGUGUGAAAUCUCGGAGCUUAACUCCGAAACUGCAUUCGAUACUGCCGUGCUUGAGGACUGGAGAGGAGACUGGAAUUUACGGUGUAGCGGCGAAAUGCGUAGAUAUCGUAAGGAAGACCAGUGGCGAAGGCGGGUCUCUGGACAGUUCCUGACGCUGAGGCACGAAGGCCAGGGGAGCAAACGGG